rnacentral:rRNA from 1 species
GGUGGAUGCCUUGGCGAUUACAGGCGAUGAAGGACGUGGUAGCCUGCGAUAAGCUUCGGGGAGCUGGCAAAUAAGCUUUGAUCCGGAGAUUUCCGAAUGGGGAAACCCACCGAAAGGUAUCGCAUACUGAAUACAUAGGUAUGCGAGGCGAACCGGGUGAACUGAAACAUCUCAGUAGCUCGAGGAAAAGACAUCAACCGAGAUUCCGAAAGUAGUGGCGAGCGAAAUCGGAGAAGCCUGCACGUUUUAGCAAUCAACUUAUCAGAACGGUCUGGAAAGUCCGGCCACAGCGGGUGAUAGCCCCGUAUGGAAAAAGUCGAUUGUGGAACUAAGCGUGCGACAAGUAGGGCGGGACACGUGUAAUCCUGUCUGAAGAUGGGGGGACCAUCCUCCAAGGCUAAAUACUCGUAAUCGACCGAUAGCGAACUAGUACCGUGAGGGAAAGGCGAAAAGAACCCCGGAGGGAGUGAAAUAGAAUCCUGAAACCGC